rnacentral:rRNA from 1 species
UACACUCCUGCGGGAGGCAUCAGUGGGGAAUUUUGGACAAUGGGCGAAAGCCUGAUCCAGCAAUGCCGCGUGAGUGAAGAAGGCCUUCGGGUUGUAAAGCUCUUUUGUCAGGGAAGAAACGGUGAAAGCUAAUAUCUUUUGCUAAUGACGGUACCUGAAGAAUAAGCACCGGCUAACUACGUGCCAGCAGCCGCGGUAAUACGUAGGGUGCAAGCGUUAAUCGGAAUUACUGGGCGUAAAGCGUGCGCAGGCGGUUUUGUAAGUCUGAUGUGAAAUCCCCGGGCUCAACCUGGGAAUUGCAUUGGAGACUGCAAGGCUAGAAUCUGGCAGAGGGGGGUAGAAUUCCACGUGUAGCAGUGAAAUGCGUAGAUAUGUGGAGGAACACCGAUGGCGAAGGCAGCCCCCUGGGUCAAGAUUGACGCUCAUGCACGAAAGCGUGGGGAGCAAACAGGAUUAGAUACCCGUGUAGUCCCAUGAU